rnacentral:rRNA from 1 species
CGUAGAGAUACGUCUUUCCUUCGGGACAUGUAUAGAGGUGCUGCAUGGCUGUCGUCAGCUCGUGUCGUGAGAUGUUGGGUUAAGUCCCGCAACGAGCGCAACCCUUAUUGCUAGUUACCAUCAUUAAGUUGGGGGACUCUAGCGAGACUGCCAGUGAUAAACUGGAGGAAGGUGGGGAUGACGUCAAAUCAUCAUGCCCCUUAUGACCUGGGCUACAAACGUGAUACAAUGGCUGAAACAAAGGGCAGCGAAGCAGUGAUGUGGAGCGAAACCCAAAAAGCAGUCUCAGUUCGGAUUGAAGUCUGCAACUCGACUUCAUGAAGUUGGAAUCGCUAGUAAUCGUAGAUCAGAACGCUACGGUGAAUACGUUCUCGGGGUUU